AAGUAUUGAUUUUAUUUAAAAAGACUGACCAGUAGUGUAUAUUGUUAUUACAAAAUAUUUAUAUUUUAAAAACAUAGCUUCUUUUUUUUUUUUUUAUUCAUCAAAGUAUCCUAAAAAAGUAUCACAUGUUCUGAAAAAAUAUUAAGCAGCAGAACUGUUUCCAACUUUGAUAAUGAAUCAUCAUAUUAGAAUGAUUUCUAAAGGAUCAUGUGAUAAUGAUCCUAAAAAAAUUCAGCUUUGCAUCACAGAAAUAAAUGAUAAUUUAAAGUAUAAUAAAUGUAAAAACAAUUAUUUUAAGUUGUAAUAAUAUAUCACAAUAUUACUGUUUUUUCUGUAUUUUUGAUCAAAUAAAUGCAGGCUUGAUGAGCAGAAGAGACUUCUUUCAAAAACAUUAAAAAUAGUAAUGUUUCCAAACUUUUGACCUGUACUGUAUAUAUAUAUAUAUAUAUAUAUAUAUAUAUAUAUAUAUAUAUAUAUAUAUAUAUAUAUAUAUAUAUAUAUGGGUAAAUCAGGAGACUUUCUUGUCAUUGAGAUGAACCUGAAUUCACUCUAUAAUACACCGCACACGCUUCUGAUCAGUCAGAGGUGCUUCUCACUGGUUUCUGAGUCAAUCUCACUGUCUCCUGACUGGUUACUGGUUUCCAAGGUAACAGCUGUUUCACUUCUGUGGGUCACAUGAUCAGGUGCUGAUAUGAACACAAACAUGAGAAACAUUAAUAAUGUCUAACAUGAAGAAAAUCAAGCCUGUUUAGGAGCAUCAUGAUCUUUUUCAACUAAUAGAAGCAUAACAUACAAAUACAGUAUAACAGACAAACAUCUUGUUUAAUAUUACAGGGAUGAGCUUAGGUUCUAAUAGUGCAAAAACAGCCUUGGUUUUCUUUCUGCAUAAAGGAUUUGUGAGAUUAGUUCAUGUCUCGUCUCUGACUCCACAGCGGUCUGCUGAGACGACGGUGAGAUGUUGGAUGGAGACUGGAGCUCUUCGUCCCCGUCCGGGAAGUUCACAAACCCACAGUGAGCUCUGUGUGACAAGCCUCCAUGACACCCAGUUUCACAACUGAAGCUCUCUGCCUGAGGGAGCGUCUACUUCCACCUGCCCAAAUGCUGGGUUAUCAUUCUGAUCCCCCUGUUCUCCACUAAACUCCGUCACCAGACCAUCCCCUGCCCACCAUCACCAUACUCACCAUAUAAAGCCGAAGAAAGUUGUUCAACUCCUCUGUGCUCCGUGCAACCAAUUUCC
ensembl:lncRNA